ACAACCUGCCAUAAAAAUGCCAUGUGCAAGAGGAUAUAUUUCAUAUCGGGCAAGCAGGCUGGGACGAUACGAUCUGUUUGGGGUUUGAAGGUCCCUUCAGCAGAAACAUCUUCUCCCCCAGGAGUGGAGUCUCCUGGGCAGGACUGCAGGGUAGAAAAAGAAAAUAAGAAAUAAGAAAAGAACUUUAACCCAUGCUAUGGGGUAAAUAUGUAAAAUGUAAACCAUUUAUUAAUAUAAUAAUAAGCCCCUGCCUUCUUUCAACACAAAUAAAAUAUUACUGCUCUCCAGGCUGAAAUAUGCUGAAAUGGAGCAAAGAUUUCUAUUUUUCCAAAACAAACAGUCUUCAAGUGAGGUCCUUUUGCAAUUAUUUUAGAGAUCUUUUUGUGGAUUGGACGAGGGCCUAAAAAUAAUGUUGUAGAUUUUAAGCUCUGACAGUACCAAUAAUUAGAGUGCUGUAACUCAGCUCAAGCACCCCACUUUCCUCUGGGUAUCAGGGCUCCCUUUUUCUCCUUGAUAUUUAGAGCAUUUUAAUGUAUUCUGGUUGAACAUUUAAACCUCAAUCACCAGCUUCUCUGGAAAACACACUCUUGUAUUUUUAGGACUGGAAAAGGACAGAGGGAACUUGUUUCUCCCUAUUAAAGCUGGAAUAAGUGUCUCUGCUAAUCAAGGAGGGAGG
rnacentral:lncRNA from 1 species